AUUCAAUGUAUAUAAUUAAUGAAAAUGUCUACAUUAUUAUUAGGGAUAGAAAAAUGCAUACAGGAUGGCUCCCAAAUCUGAGAUGCUUUGGAAACAGCACUGGUUACGACUCAACAUAGUCCACAGAAAGAGAAAAAGAUGUCCCUGAAUACCUUCUGUGCAGCUGUAGUACUUGAAUACGAUCAGCAUCCAGCUUUAUCAACAACUUAGUAGCAGGAUCCAGGGGUCCUUCAGUGAAACUUGGCUGUUUUCCUGAUGGAGUACACAAUCUAUUUCCAAGCUAUACAUCUCACAAAUGGUCUGUUGCAGUGUGUAAUGGGGUCAGGUGGGAUGAAACUGAUUGAGAAAGCAGAGAAAUAUAUAUGCUUUUACUGAAAAAUUAAAGGUCCCACUGUAUAAUUAUACACACACUUGAAGAUGGACACGACAAC
rnacentral:lncRNA from 1 species